rnacentral:rRNA from 1 species
GCUGACGAGUGGCGGACGGGUGAGUAAUGUCUGGGAAACUGCCUGAUGGAGGGGGAUAACUACUGGAAACGGUAGCUAAUACCGCAUAACGUCGCAAGACCAAAGAGGGGGACCUUCGGGCCUCUUGCCAUCGGAUGUGCCCAGAUGGGAUUAGCUAGUAGGUGGGGUAACGGCUCACCUAGGCGACGAUCCCUAGCUGGUCUGAGAGGAUGACCAGCCACACUGGAACUGAGACACGGUCCAGACUCCUACGGGAGGCAGCAGUGGGGAAUAUUGCACAAUGGGCGCAAGCCUGAUGCAGCCAUGCCGCGUGUAUGAAGAAGGCCUUCGGGUUGUAAAGUACUUUCAGCGGGGAGGAAGGGAGUAAAGUUAAUACCUUUGCUCAUUGACGUUACCCGCAGAAGAAGCACCGGCUAACUCCGUGCCAGCAGCCGCGGUAAUACGGAGGGUGCAAGCGUAAUCGGAAUUACUGGC